rnacentral:ribozyme from 13 species
CUGAGAUCAAACCAGACUGCAUCGUACCACGCUACCACAUGCACAGAGAGAAAAGAAAAACAAUCAUAAAAAACAAAAGAGAAAGAGAUACAAAUAGAGACAUGUAUGUUU